rnacentral:tRNA from 1 species
AAAGAAUUAGUUAAAAAAAUAACAUAAAGACUGUCAGUUUUAAAUUAUUACUUAAGUAAUAUUCUUUU